CUAAGGUUAAUUAAAUGCGAAACAAAUAGGUUUCACCAACUAGAUUAAGCUAGUUAUUAAAGAAAUCUGUCUUGUUCAAAGUGUUUACACUCUUCCAUGAAUGAUAAAAAGUUGUUAGGCUAUUGUACCUUUUUACAAUUAAAGCCAAUUGGCUUUCCGCAUGAACUUGAACUACAUUGAAAACAUUGACUUUCAGCUCCGUGUUCGUCCUUAUAUGGCCAUCCGUCAUCCGUUUUGUAACAGAAAACUGAUUUUAUUGGCCCUAUGUUUUUUAAUGUAUCGAAGGGAAAAGUUCAGCACAACCGACUUGUUUGCUAGUGGCUACGAAAAAUACAUUGCGGAAGUCCAUAUAACAGGAUAUUUAUAAAUGAAAAUCCCCUAACUUUCAGCAGUGACCACAAGCAUGAGUUCAUGGGCUUCGCCGAAGCCGGAAGUCACUGAGCACCGCAAAUUCAUCGUCAACUACAAAAUUGAAAAAUCAAGGAAAAUGCAUGCAUACUGAUGGCAAGAUUGCUGGGGCUAUUCCAUAUAGUGGGCUAUAUUUCAAGCCAGGAUAUGAGUGCCUGCUGCAAAGGACUCAAAUUUAAAAACAGCUCGGUUUGAUUAAAACUAAGUUCGCACAUGCAAAGUAAUUGAAUAACAUAUUUUUAGGUUCUGAGGCUUGGGGUUACCCACACCACUUUCCGUAAUUAAAUUUAAUUUUCAGACUUUA
rnacentral:sRNA from 1 species